rnacentral:lncRNA from 1 species
AGAUAAACAAUAUAAAUUAGCUCCUUCUUUCAGGGGCCUGGCGCAAAUGACGUCUCUGUGAUAUCUUGGCGCCGUUCAGCAAGCCGCUGUCUUUAUAGCUAGAACGGCAAAUCUGAAAAGAAGAAAAUUGGCAAAACUAUCCAAUCCUUGUAUUGAUAAAAAAUAUGUUGACAGAGUGAAGCUUCAAGCGCAAGUACAAAACAAGUUCUCUUUCAAAUAUGCGGCGAAUGUGCUUCCUAACCUGAAAGACCUCCCUUCUAGAAAACACACCAAGACUCGGGCAUCGUGUGUGGUUAAGAGGAGGCCUGGUGGGCUCACUCUCCAGUGUUCCUGCCUGUCUUAGAACGUGCCACCAGCAGCAGCACCUGAGCAUGGCACAGCGUGUGAGCCUUCUGGUCCUUCUCCUGGGAGUGCUGGCAUUUCAGAUGAAAGGGGUGCUUGGUUUGUCAGAUGAGAGCAGUGACAGCAGUCCUGGGCACCGAAAGAGCUACUACGUGGUUUGGAUGCUGCCAACUCAAAGCCUGAGGGCGCGACCACAGAACAUUGAUGGCAGUACGGUGCUGCGCUUGCUGGCUCUGUGGCCUUCCACUGUGGUCAGGGCGCCUGUCAGCACAAUGGCAUGCAUCCAGCCUCAGCCAGCACCCAUCAUCCCUAGGCCGAGUCCGUCCCCCCCGGCCCCUCCCUUGUUGGCAAGCACAGUUCCCAAAGGCCCUGUCCUCACCCCCUCUGGCCAGUCCAUGACAUCAGAGAGAAACAGAGAAGCCUCUGCACCUGGGAGCCUGGGGACCUGCUGCGGUAUGCCGGCCAGGUUUCCCCUGACACCCCAAGUCCUGGCUAUUCCAGGUCCCCCCACAAAGGGAGCACUUCACAGCACCAGCUUCCCCACCUCCUCCCCAGUGAAGGAGCCCCGAGGAGAUGUGUAAGCUGGGAGAAGGACCAGACCCACAUCUGCCUGUGCUACUGGCUGUGUGUGGAAGCAACUUUCAAGGGAAGUGUUCAAAGCUCGGAUGGUCAUAGUCAAUCACCCCGGUGAUGUAUCCUGUGAACCUAUUUUUAUUACAGGAUUUACCUUAUCAGCUCCUGUAGAAAUGAAGUUCUUCUAUAAGGAAGCCUCGCAGGACCAGGAAAGUGAUGCUGGCACAUAUGCUACAAUUUUGAGGCAAUUUCUCACUGUUACCUAAAAAAUAAAAGAGCAUAACUUCUAAACCA